UAGUCUCCCUUCAGGAGGCUAAGGUGGAAGAAUUGCUUGAGCCCAGGAGUUUGAGACUGCAGUGAGCUCUGAUUGUGCCAUUGCAUGGGCCAACUGGGCAGGUCCACUUAGACACAAUUUUUAAAAAAUAAAUAUAUUGGAAAAAUUUUAGAGAUUUGCAAUAAUUUGAAAAACAAAUGAGCUGCAUAGCCUAGAAAUGUUGAAAACAUUGCUCAUCCGGGCCCCACGGCCAGCAGAGUUGGCCCCACUCGGUGGCCACCGGGGCCUGUGCACCGGAAUCGCCGUGGCCUGUGCACCCCACCUCACCAGUUUGAACCUCCGUGGCCUCAACCAGAUUUGGAAUGUCAAAAGCAGAGUGUUUAUUUGAGGAGUUUGAGGAAAUCGGGAACUUUGGGCCACUCAGGCUCUCUAGAUGAGACCAGCCAUGAAAGACUAGCAGAGGAAAUGCUAGACUCCUUAACAGAGUUUUCUGAAGACCUUGCGGACAAGCCAUACAUGUUUUUUAAGGACUAUGAUGUUUUCUUUGGGAGUGGCAUCUUAACUGCUAAACUGGGUAGAGAUCCAGGAACCUACGUGAUCAAUAAGCAGACACUAAACAAGCAAAUCUGGUUAUCUUUUCCAUCCUGUGGACCCAAGUGUUAUGACUGGACUGGGAAAAACUGGGUGUACUCCCACUAUGGUGAUGGCACGUCCCUCCAUGAGCUGCUGGCUGUACAGCUCACUAAAGCCUUAAAAAUCAAACUGGACUUGUCUUCCUUGGCCUAUUCCAGGAAAGACUCAUGUUGCCCAGCCCAGUUUUAAGGACAUUAAAAGCUGUCAUACAAAGACCCCAGCUUCAUUAUGCAGCUGAGGUCUGUUUUUUUUUUUUUUUUUCCAUUCCUGCUUUUGAGGACAGUUCGGCUAUGUGUAAUAGCUCUGUGGAAAGAGUAUGUUGCCUCCUACCUUGCCGCCACGUUCUGAUUUUUAAUUUCUAUGGGAGAUUUUUUUGGAUUCACUGAUUUCCUCCCUCACAUGAUAUCCCUUAUAUUUUAUAAUAUCUUAUGCCUAUACCUAAAUAUAACAACCUUUAAAAAAGCAAAAUGAUAAGAAGAAAAAAUUCCAGGAGAAAUGAAUUGUUUUCACUCUUCAUUCUUUGAAGGAUUUACUACAAGAAGUACAUGAUGAGCAGCUCGUCAACCUGCUCACUGUUCUGU